rnacentral:rRNA from 1 species
GACGAACGCUGGCGGCGUGCUUAACACAUGCAAGUCGAACGGAAAGGCCCUGCUUUUGUGGGGUGCUCGAGUGGCGAACGGGUGAGUAACACGUGAGUAACCUGCCCUUGACUUUGGGAUACCUCCUGGAGACUGGGGCGAUUACCGGGUAUGAGCUCCUGCUGCAUGGGGGGGGUUGGUGAGAUUCGGCGGUUGGGGAUGGAAUGGCGGCCCAUCGUCUUGUUGGCGGGGUAGUGGAUUACCAAGGCUUUGACGGGUAGCCGGCCUGCGAGGGUGACAGGCCACAUUGGGCCAGGGAUGCGACCCAGACUGCUACGGGAGGCAGCAGUGGGAGAUAGUGCACGAUGGGCGGAAGCCUGAUGCAGCAACGCCGCGUGCGGGAUGUCGGCCUUCGGGGUGUAAACCGCUUUCGCCUGUGACGAAGAGUGAGUGACGGUAAUGGGUAAGGAAGCACCGGCUAACUACGUG